AUGAAGAUUACUACAAUCAUGCAGUUAAUCUUGGGGUUCAUUGUUUGCAACGGACAUGUCAUCAUCUGUGGCUCCCUGUAUGGAAAUGAGACAGACCAAUUGUCACUGCUUGAAUUCAAGAAUGCAAUCACCCUCGAUCCAAAGCAAUCCUUGAUGUCCUGGAAUGACAGUACCCACUUUUGCAAUUGGGAAGGUGUUCAUUGCAGGAUGAAGAAUCCAUACCGUGUCACUUCUCUUAACCUUACAAAUCGAGGUUUAGUCGGGCAAAUCUCUCCUUCACUUGGAAAUCUAACAUUCCUAAAACAUCUACUCCUACCAACAAAUGGGUUUACUGGGACAAUUCCUCCAUCCCUUGGUCAUUUGCAUCGCCUUCAAAACCUCUACCUGAGCAAUAACACACUGCAAGGGAGGAUACCUAGUCUGGCAAACUGUUCCAACCUCAAGGCCCUAUUGCUGGGUAGAAAUCAACUAGUUGGGCAAAUUCCUGCAGACUUGCCUUCUUACCUUCAAGUGCUGCAACUUUCAAUUAACAAUCUUACUGGAAUCAUCCCUGCUUCUCUUGCCAACACCACAUCGCUAAACCAGUUUAACGUUGCGUUUAAUAAUAUUGAGGGCAACAUCCCGAAUGAGAUUGCCAAGUUACCUGCGCUACAUAUUCUGAACGCGGGUAGCAAUCAAUUGACAGGCAGGUUUCAACAAGCCAUUUUGAACCUUUCUACUCUUGUUACCCUUAUCCUUGGUCCAAAUCAUUUAAGUGGUGAGGUACCAUCCAAUAUUGGUAACUCUCUACCCAGUCUCCAACAGUUCGCAUUAGCCGAUAACUUCUUUGAUGAAAAAAUCCCAUCUUCUUUGAUCAACGCAUCCCAGAUACACAUUUUUGAUAUAUCAAAAAAUAAUUUCACAGGUUUGGUGCUUAGGUCCAUUGGCAAACUUUCUGAACUCACAAAGUUAAACCUUGAGUUCAAUAAACUCCAAGCACGUGAUAAGCAAGAUUGGGAGUUUAUGAAUAGCUUAACCAAUUGUACUAAGCUAAAUGCCUUCUCGGUAGAGUGGAAUCAUCUAGAAGGCCACAUACCAAGUUCAUUAUCCAACCUUUCCAUUCAACUUCAACAUCUAUAUUUGGGGCGGAAUCAAUUGGAAGGGGAUUUCCCUUCUGGCAUAGCAAACCUUCCGAACCUGAUUGUUUUAGGAAUGAAUAGCAAUCAAUUUACAGGUGCCAUUCCCCAAUGGCUAGGAACUCUCAAAAAUUUGCAAAUACUAGCUUUAGCUGACAACAUCUUUACAGGGUUUAUUCCAUCCUCCCUUUCCAAUUUAUCUCAAUUGGCAUAUCUCCUUCUAGAAUCGAACCAAUUUGUUGGCAACAUACCACCAAGCUUUGGAAAGCUUCAAAACCUUGCAAUAUUGAACAUGUCCAGCAACAAUCUUCAUGGUUUAGUACCAAAGGAGAUCUUUAGAAUUCCACCACUAAGGGAAAUUUAUUUAUCCUUUAACAACUUUGAUGGACAACUUCCUACCGACAUCGGUAAUGCCAAACAACUCACAAAUCUAGAACUCUCUUCAAAUAGGCUAUCUGGAGAUAUUUCUAGCACUUUGGGUGAGUGUGCAAGUUUGCAAGAUAUAAAGUUGGACUGGAAUGUUUUCAGUGGAAGCAUCCCCACUUCGUUACGCAAAAUAAGUAGCCUAAAAAUUCUCAGUGUCUCUCACAAUAACAUUACUGGGUCAAUUCCAGUGUUUCUUGGCAACCUACAAUACCUCGAGCAACUAGAUUUGUCAUUCAACCAUCUCGCGGGGGAGGUCCCAAAAGAAGGAAUCUUCAAGAAUGUGACUGCUCUGCGGAUUGAAGGAAAUCAUGAGCUUUGUGGUGGGGCUCUGCAGUUACACUUAAUGGCAUGUUCUGUUAUGCCUUCAAAUUCAACAAAGCACAAGCUGUUUGCUGUACUCAAAGUGUUAAUCCCAAUAGCUUGCAUGGUCUCACUUGCUAUGGUCAUACUUCUCUUAUUGUUCUGGAGGGGGAGACAUAAGAGAAAAUCCAUGUCUUCACCAUCAUUUGAAAGAAAUCUUCCCAAAGUUUCUUUCAGUGAUAUUGCUAGAGCAACAGAGGGGUUCUCAACAUCCAGCAUUGGAAGAGGGAGGUAUGGUACUGUGUAUCAAGGAAAACUAUUUCAAGAUGGAAAUUAUGUUGCCAUAAGUGUCUUCAACCUGGAGACAAGGGGAGCACCAAAUAGCUUCAUUGCAGAAUGUAAUGUCUUAAGAAAUGUGCGGCAUCGUAAUCUGGUUCCUAUACUAACCGCAUGCUCAAGCAUUGAUUCUAAUGGCAAUGAUUUCAAAGCUCUAGUGUAUGAGUUCAUGCCUCGAGGAGGCUUGCAUGGACUACUGUACUCAACUCAAGACUAUGAGAGCUCUUUUGAUUUGAUGCAUAUUACAGUAGCUCAAAGGCUAAGCAUUGUUGUGGAUAUAGCAGAUGCACUGGAGUACCUACACCAUAACAACCAAGGAACUAUUGUUCAUUGUGAUAUGAAGCCUAGCAACAUUCUUUUGGAUGACAAUAUGACAGCUCAUGUUGGAGAUUUUGGUCUUGCAAGGUUCGUAGUUGAUUCAACGGUAUCAUCAUCUGAUGACUCAUACUCAGCCUCUUCAAUGGCGAUAAAUGGAACUAUUGGAUAUGUUGCUCCAGAAUGUGCAACAGGUGGUCAUAUUUCAACUGCUAGCGAUGUCUACAGCUUUGGAAUUGUUCUAUUUGAGAUAUUCUUACGGAAGAGGCCGACAGAUGAUAUGUUCAAAGAUGGACUAAACAUUGCGAAAUUCGUUGAAAUGAAUUUUCCUUCCAGGAUAUCAGAAAUUAUUGAACCUGAAGUACUUCAAGAUCAGCCUGAGUUUCCUGAAGAAACUCUAGUAGCCAUGAAGGAAAAUGACCUGGACUGUGUAAUUUCAGUGCUAAACAUUGGGCUCCGCUGCACCAAGCCAUACCCGAACGAGCGCCGCAACAUGCAGGAAGUGGCUGCAGGGCUGCAUGGAAUCAAGGAGGCUUAUCUCAGAGGGUGCUAA
rnacentral:rRNA from 1 species